rnacentral:lncRNA from 1 species
AUGUUUUUUAGGACCAGCAGUCCCGUAGAUUCUCAAUGUUUGGUGAGAGACAUGCUUAGAUUGUGCUGUUCCUACAAUGCGAAGCCAGAUAACACUUUGACCAACUUCAGAAAAACUGGUUACGUGGAAAAAACUGUAGACGUACAUAUACAGGCUAUCAUAGAUCCUCAAGAAAGAAGACAUCACUUACUAAAGGAAAACUUGGUGAUAAAAAAUUCAGUUUCCAUCCUAUUCAAUCUUGAGAAUCUCACUGUCUACAAAACUGCUUGUCAGGAAGCAGGAGAGUUUCAGAAUUAG